rnacentral:rRNA from 1 species
AUGCUCUCCCAGUUCGUUAAUGGCGUGAAAACUUUUCUGCUUGUGGCUGAGGCGAACAAUUGUGCGGAUGGUUUUAUGUCUUGUCCAUGUGUUGGCUGUAAGAAUGAUCAGAAUUACUCUAAGUCAAAAACCAUUCACUGGGACCUGUUUCAGUCUGGUUUCAUGCCCCACUAUAAUGUUUGGACCAAGCAUGGAGAAAGAGAGGUUAUGAUGGAAGACAAUGAAGAAGAAGAGGAGGAAGACAGCUAUCCUGGCCAUGGGUUCCCUGAAUAUGAUGGUACAACAAUGGGGGAAGAAGCUGAGCCGGCAAUGCGGGAAGAAGCUGAAGAAGAGGCAUCAGAUGAGCCCGCUGAUGAUCUAGGUCGGGCCAUUGCCGAUGCAAAGAGAAACUACGCAAGUGAAAAGGAGAAGAAGAAGUUGCAGCGCAUGUUAGAG